GGCACAAACUUGAAGUAGAAUAGUCGGGUAUGAUCAGCUGAUUCUACUAAUCUACUCUACUUCAAGUUUGUGCUC
rfam:Haemonchus placei strain MHpl1 genome assembly, scaffold: HPLM_scaffold0000019